rnacentral:hammerhead_ribozyme from 1 species
GUCCAUCUCAAGAGUCCCAAAUAAGACAAAACGCGCGUCCUGGAU